rnacentral:lncRNA from 1 species
AGCGGAGUACUAUCUGAAUUCUGAAGAAGAAACAUUUGAUCAGAUACAGCUGGCCUACAAAUACUUGGCCAAAACGUAAACGUAAAAGUUAAAAACCCAAAAAAGAUUAAAAAGGAAAAUUGGCCUACCUCAUUGCAAUCUGCAAUAGUUAUUUUUUUGUCGUCCAUUUUACUUCCAUGAAGAUGAAGGAAAAAAAAUAAAACAGAAAAUCUUUCCUCCUCUUUUGCAGUCCACGUGUAUGGCAAGAAAAGUUCGAUAACUCCCAAUUUCAAUUCCCAAAAUAAAACCCUAGCGUAGCGUCCCACCCAGUAACAUCCCCACAGCUGAGCAAGACAAAAGCUACUAGUGCCUGAGCCUUUUUGUCUGCACCCAAAGAGAACGCAAAAAAAAUGGCUUCCUCCGCAGCUAUCACCCUCCUGCCCAAAUCCCUGCGACCCAGAACCACCUUCAACACAGCCAUCGCCACCCGUUUCUUCUCCACCGGGAGCUCAGACUCCCCGCCCAAACAAAAACCAACACAGAGGUUGGUUCCCCACCCGUUUCAAACAGGAGGGCCUCUGAUGCCUGUAAUGCAUAGCCCAGUGAAGGGCGGUUGUCUGUUGAGGGUAAACAUGCCGGGUGUUGGCCAAGAUGGUCUGAAGGUCCAUCUUGAGAACAAUACUGUAUUCUUUGAGGGUAAAGGAGAAGCGGAACACGAAUCUGAAGAAGGGAGGGGUUAUAAGGGCAGUUUCGAGGUGAUUGGCAUGAAUAUCAAGGUUGCAAAAAUUGAGCCGGAGAUGAGAGAUGGGAUUUUAAGGGCUUUUAUCAGGGUCAAUAAAAUUGAUGACAAAGCUCUUAUGGCGUCCGAUUGCAGUGCAUCCUUUUGAAAAAUCGACCAUUGUCUAGCUUUCUAGUCUUUUUUGUUUUAGGUCCAGGGUGGGCCUGUUUUAGCUUUCUAGCUAAAAUUUUGUGGUGAGGUAUUGUGGUGGGUUCUUUAUGCUCUAUGAUUUUAUGGAUAAAAUGAUGUUUGUAUUAGUGAUCUUUAAUCCAGAGUGUAGCGGAUGGAUUUCUUUCCUUUUCUUUUCUAAAUUUUGCAUAAUACUCAUUGACAAACGAAUCAAAUCUUAAUGCUGAAAUUAGUGGGAAAACUGUGCAUUUGAUUGAUUGUGAUUUGGUCAAUUUCUGUCAGCCUUAUGCU